rnacentral:rRNA from 1 species
GGAAGGGAUAAACGCUGAAAGCAUCUAAGUGUGAAGCCCACCUCAAGAUGAGAUUUCCCAUUUCUUUAAGAAAGUAAGAUCCCUGAGAGAUGAUCAGGUAGAUAGGUCAGGAGUGGAAGUACAGUGAUGUAUGGAGCGGACUGAUACUAAUCGAUCGAGGACUUAACCACA